CGAAAGGGCUAGGGCUCGACUCAUGCCUCGAAGUGUGAGUGGCGUUGGAGGCGAGGCGCAACCUCACCAGGAUUGCGGCGGACCGGCGGUUGAUUUUGGUUUGCACAGAUCUAGGGUUUUGUUGGGCUGAUUUUCGUUUGAAUUCAUUGUCUUUUUAGGUUGUGCGUGUGUUACAAAGGGAGGGUGAGAGGCAAGAGAAGGGAG
rnacentral:lncRNA from 1 species